AUUGAACGCUGGCGGCAGGCCUAACACAUGCAAGUCGAACGGUAACAGGAAGAAGCUUGCUUCUUUGCUGACGGGUGGCGGGCGGGUGAGUAAUGUCUGGGAAACUGCCUGAUGGAGGGGGAUAACUACUGGAAACGGUAGCUAAUACCGCAUAACGUCGCAAGACCAAAAAGGGGGACCUUCGGGCCUCUUGCCAUCGGAUGUGCCCAGAUGGGAUUCGCUAGUAGGUGGGGUAACGGCUCACCUAGGCGACGAUCCCUAGCUGGUCUGAGAGGAUGACCAGCCACACUGGAACUGAGACACGGUCCAGACUCCUACGGGAGGCAGCAGUGGGGAAUAUUGCACAAUGGGCGCAAGCCUGAUGCAGCCAUGCCGCGUGUAUGAAGAAGGCCUUCGGGUUGUAAAGUACUUUCAGCGGGGAGGAAGGGAGUAAAGUUAAUACCUUGGCUCAUUGACGUUACCCGCAGAAGAAGCACCGGCUAACUCCGUG
rnacentral:rRNA from 1 species